UUUGCAUAUCAAUAAGCGGAGGAAAAGAAACUAACAAGGAUUCCCCUAGUAACGGCGAGUGAACCGGGAAGAGCUCAAAUUUGAAAUCUGGCGUCCUCAGGGCGUCCGAGUUGUAAUCUAUAGAGGCGUUUUCCGUGCCGGACCGUGUCCAAGUUCCUUGGAACAGGAUAUCAAAGAGGGUGACAAUCCCGUACUUGACACGACGACCGGUGCUCUGUGAUACGUCUUCUACGAGUCGAGUUGUUUGGGAAUGCAGCUCAAAAUGGGUGGUGAGUUCCAUCUAAAGCUAAAUAUUGGCGAGAGACCGAUAGCGAACAAGUACCGUGAGGGAAAGAUGAAAAGCACUUUGGAAAGAGAGUUAAACAGUACGUGAAAUUGUUGAAAGGGAAACGAUUGAAGUCAGUCGUGACCGAGAGGCUCAGCCGGCUCUGCCGGUGUAUUCCCCUCGGUCGGGUCAACAUCAGUUUUGUCCGGUGGAUAAGGGCGGUAGGAAGGUAGCACCCUCGGGUGUGUUAUAGCCUGCCGUCGCAUACAUCGGGUGAGACUGAGGAAUGCAGCUCGCCUUUAUGGCCGGGGUUCGCCCACGUCCGAGCUUAGGAUGUUGACAUAAUGGCUUUAAACGACCCGUCUUGAAACACGGACCAA
rnacentral:rRNA from 1 species